rnacentral:rRNA from 1 species
CCUACGGGGGGCUGCAGUGGGGAAUAUUGGACAAUGGGGGCAACCCUGAUCCAGCCAUGCCGCGUGUGUGAAGAAGGCCCUCGGGUUGUAAAGCACUUUCAGUGAGGAAGAACGCCUGGUGGUUAAUACCCAUCAGGAAAGACAUCACUCACAGAAGAAGCACCGGCUAACUCCGUGCCAGCAGCCGCGGUAAUACGGAGGGUGCGAGCGUUAAUCGGAAUUACUGGGCGUAAAGCGCGCGUAGGUGGCUUGAUAAGCCGGUUGUGAAAGCCCCGGGCUCAACCUGGGAACGGCAUCCGGAACUGUCAAGCUAGAGUGCAGGAGAGGAAGGUAGAAUUCCCGGUGUAGCGGUGAAAUGCGUAGAGAUCGGGAGGAAUACCAGUGGCGAAGGCGGCCUUCUGGACUGACACUGACGCUGAGGUGCGAAAGCGUGGGUAGCAAACAGGAUUAGAUACCCCUGUAGUG